AUCUUGUAAUUGUGUAUUUUGUAUCAAUUUUUAAUUUAUCCUUAUUUUUUAUUUUUAUUUUGCGUUAAUUCAUUAUUAAUAAUUGCUGCUUGCAGGCAAACGAAAAAAAAUCGACUUCAAUUACAUCGACAAGUAAUACAAUGUAGGUACAUGAAAAAAUAGUCAAGAAAUACGCAUUAUCAAAGAUUACUCCAUAAGUUGUAAUCAGAUCUCGAUGAAAUAUGACCACAUGAUAAACAUCGGCUUUCGAUUAGGUUAAAAACAUCAAAAUCAGUACACCCAGUAGUAUGUUAAGUAUUAUGUAGUUAAUGUAAAGUUAUG
rnacentral:misc_RNA from 1 species